rnacentral:rRNA from 1 species
CAGCCAGACUCCUACGGGAGGCAGCAGUGGGGGAUAUUGCACAAUGGGGGAAACCCUGAUGCAGCAACGCCGCGUGAGUGAAGAAGUAUUUCGGUAUGUAAAGCUCUAUCAGCAGGGAAGAGAAUGACGGUACCUGACUAAGAAGCCCCGGCUAACUACGUGCCAGCAGCCGCGGUAAUACGUAGGGGGCAAGCGUUAUCCGGAUUUACUGGGUGUAAAGGGUGCGUAGGUGGCAUGGCAAGUCAGAAGUGAAAGCCCGGGGCUCAACCCCGCGGACUACUUUUGAAACUGUCAGGCUGGAGUACAGGAGAGGUAAGCGGAAUUCCUAGUGUAGCGGUGAAAUGCGUAGAUAUUAGGAGGAACACCAGUGGCGAAGGCGGCUUACUGGACUGUAACCGACACUGAGGCACGAAAGCGUGGGGAGCAAACGGGAUUAGAUGCCCUCGUAA